CAAAACCUUCACAGAAAAGUGUGUAUCUGGUAAAAAGUUGUCGGAUCAUGUUAAGGUCAUGCAGGAACAAGUAAAUUCAUUUCUGACACAGCUAGUCGAAGAGGAAAAGAAGUCAACCACAGCUGUUAAAAGAAAUCAAGAGGAUGAUGUGGAGUCAGAUGAAGAGGAUGAUGAUGAUGUUGAAGAGCCUCCGGUGAAACAGCCCAAGACAUGACUUGCUCGUUGUAAAUGUGAGAAUGGUGUAUAAACUGAAAACUGUACAGUUGUGAGAAAGCAGAAUAAAAAGUGUUUACUUUAUUGUGACUCUUGGUCGCUUGAUUAAUGUGUUUGGAACUUAUGGUUUACUUGUACAUUUUUUAAUGUAGUUUUGUUCUGUUAAAUGUUUCAACAUGAGCAUGUGUUAUAGCCCAUAAAAGAGUGUAGUUAUUUGUGAACAUUGCAAUAGCCUAUGGUAGUCCAGUAUUCACACUGGAAUAAAGUUUAAACCUAA